GACCCAGACUUCCUCCUGGGAGUUGCCAACAUAUCUUUGCAUUUCCUCAGCAGCACUGCUCGGCCCUGUUUGCUGUUUAUUUCCAGGUGAUGAGACGUGGCAAUUGUGGCUUUGGCUGAAGUACAUAAAUGGCAUCCUAAUCACCAAAUUCAGAGAUGGAGGGAGGAAGAAGCUGGGCACAUCACCCAGGCAGGAGUCGGCAGGAGGAAGCCCGCUUAGUAUGCAAGACACAUUCCAAACACUUCAUAAAAGGAGCUGGAAAUGUUCUCAAAACUGUCCUGAAAGCCAGUAAUGCUUUCGGUCGUUGUCACCUUCGCGAGGAACAAGCUGCAACUCCGCUUUCUGACUUCAUUCUCCCGGUGACAUUUUCCACACAGGCUCUGACAGAGACAGCAAUUAUAAAGACAUCCAGGUUGGCAUUCAAGGAUUCUUGAAGUUAACAAAUUGUCCAGGGAUAAAUGACAAUGAAGUUGGCAGCCUGCACACUCCUUCACGAAAAUGCAUGCAGGCGGCGAUCAGAAUCAAGCCUGGAGGAGAGAGAUGCUACCCCUCACCCGCCGUUCACGGCAUGGGGGCAUGUUGGGGUUACCCCACGACCUGCCUCCUUAGCAGGCCAUUUGGAUGAGGCCAGCUGGGCUGUGGACCUGCCAGCAGGUUUGAAGAGUAGAAAGAUUUCAGAGAAAAGCAAUGAAAAUACGUGUUUAAACACA